rnacentral:rRNA from 1 species
CCGGCACGGGUGAGUAACACGUAUGCAAUCCACCUGUAACAGGGGAUAACCCGGAGAAAUCCGACUAAUACCCAUAAUAUGGGCGCUCCGCAUGGAGAGCCCAUUAAAGAGAGCAAUUUUGGUUUACAGACGAGCAUGCGCUCCAUUAGCCAGUUGGCGGGGUAACGGCCCACCAAAGCGACGAUGGAUAGGGGUUCUGAGAGGAAGGUCCCCCACAUUGGAACUGAGACACGGUCCAA